UCGCAGGCUAGGCGCACGCGAGGCUGGCCGCGCCGCUGCACGCUUGUGCUAGUCGUCCGAGGCGCGGUGAGCGCGGUGGACGCUGAGGCGCUGCUGCAGGAGUCCAGGAGCCCCGGUGUCCCUAGAGCACUCAGCAAGGCCCCGGUUCUCUGCAGUCCCUAGAGCAGCUCGCGAUGGCCCCGCGCAAGAACGCCAAGGGCGGCGGCGGCAACAGCAGCAGCAGCGGCAGCGGCUCGGGCAGCGGUAGCCCGAGCACCGGUAGCAGCGGUAGCAGCAGUAGCCCCGGGGCGCGGAGAGAGGCAAAGCACGGAGGACACAAGAAUGGGCGGAGAGGAGGAAUUUCCGGAGGGUCCUUUUUCACGUGGUUCAUGGUCAUUGCGUUGCUGGGCGUCUGGACAUCGGUGGCCGUCGUGUGGUUUGACCUCGUUGAUUAUGAGGAAGUUCUAGCCAAAGCGAAGGACUUCCGUUAUAACUUAUC
rnacentral:lncRNA from 1 species